AGUUAUUCCAACUAAUUACAAUUAAAUUGAGUUUAUACUUGAGACUAGUAUAUAAAUAGAACUAGUUGUUGCCCAACACUAUCAUAUCACUUAUUUGAGUAUAGGAUGCAUGUAAACAUAUAUAGCACAACAAUUGUUACCUGGUUUAAGAAGAAGAAGUAAAACCUAGUCUAGUCUAUUUACCACAAGGAAUAAUGACACUUGAGCUGUCUGCUCCUGUUUGCCAGAUAAGAGCCACAAAAAUGCAACAUUUCAACCAGGAAUUAACUAAAUACAAUGAUUUUCCACAUUAUGGUCUACAGUAUGUUUCUUUUUCUCCGUCUGCUUGAGUUAAAGACAUUUUUUUCAGUGCAUGAUAAAUGUCAAAUCUUAGCAGAUAGUGGGACACAUGACAGGGAACUUUAGGGGACAGUGCAAUGACUUUUAUUGUACUCAAGUUACAUAGAGUAGACUUUUAGGUGUUUAAAAUAAGUUGACAGCAUAACAGUAGCGUUCAAAGUGUCAGCUAUGACGUAGCCCCUGUCACUGCUAUUGCCAUUAAAUGUCAGCUGUGAGCUGCGCAGUGGAAUCAGUCAGCCAGAUGGAGAAAAACAGAUAAGAUGGGGCAGAUGUGUGUGAAACUGGCAGGCUGAAAAUUCACCACCAGCCACCACCUAAAGGCUGCCAGACUAAUCUUCAUCAGUAAAUGACAAAUGCAUCUACUCUACAAAUCAGAUCUGUCAUUUAUCUAAUUACUGACGGGCCAUCCUUCCAUCAAAAAAUCUCAUUUGUAAAGUAGACAGAGUAGUGAAAGUAGCAACCUUUAUCUCCAAUCCACCCUCACAAAAAAAAAAAAAACAGCCUGCAGAAAGUAAUCACAGGAAAACAGCAGCCCAGCAGUCUGACAACACAUGGCUCAACACAUCGUAUCACAACACAAUCAACACUUAGCUUCAGUAACUUGCCAAGGACAGACGCUGACUGAAAUUUGAAUGGCUUGUCAGACCAUUAUCUAGCUGCCAACUUCAAUCGAGGCGUGCCUUUAAAAGACGCUGGAUUCCCCCCUCCAUUCAUCAAUAAUGGCUGUCCUUAUUUGAGACUUCUUUUCAAUGACUGACAUUAAAAUAAUGCACGGUGUGUCCUUACUUCAUUUUUCUAUAGGUCUAUUUGGUCAAGGCUCUGCUGUCAUGAGAAAACAAUAGCAGGCAUCUAUGUAGUUCUCUCUGAAUACAAAUGAUUCUUUAUGAUGCUGGUGGGUUUGGGGUUAAGUUCGUUCAGAGCUCUUGGUCAG
ensembl:lncRNA